AACCUAGCACACCUGCGGUGUGUACCUGCGGAAGGAUCAUUACAGAGAACCUGCCCUAUGGGUAGAUCUCCCACCCUUUGUUUACAAUACCUCUGUUGCUUUGGCAGGCCCGUCUUUUUGACCACCGGCUUCGGCUGGUCAGCGCCUGCCAGAGGACCCCAAACUCUAGAUUUUAGCAUUGUCUGAGUGUUGCAUAAAUAAUUAAAACUUUCAACAACGGAUCUCAGAUCGGAAGAGCAC
rnacentral:misc_RNA from 1 species